CAAGAAUGAUACAUGCACAGAAAUAGGAUAUACAUAAUCAGUAGACUGUAUUUUAAAAAAUAGAUCACAUGAUACAGUUUGUUUAAGAUACAUUUGAGUUAUGCAUAAUUAUAUUCAUAAGCAUGGGGGUGACACUGAUGUUCAUUUUUUUCAUUCUGAUUAAUGAUUCACCUUAGCUAGAGAUACUGACCUCAGCCAUCAUUUCCCCAUUCCCCUGCAACUUCUUUAUUCGUGAUUCUUAAGACAAUCAUUUGCAACUCACUGGGCAGCUAGAGACAACUGAAGUUAAGAUACAAAUUACAGUUGCUCCUUUCUUGGGUCUAUAUCUGAUCACAAUUAUAUAAUAACACAUGUUUCUAAAAGUACCUUGUUUACUUCAUGCAGGGUGGGUCUUUGAAAGCACCUAGGGUAGUUAGGAACACAAUUCUCAUCGGCUUUAGUCAAUUGCCAUUGACGACUCCCCUGAAAAAUCCCUGCAGUGGACUUUAAGAUGCUGCUGCUACAAGGAGAAAAAUUACUUUUCCCUAGUUAUUUUGUUUAUAGUUUAAUAUUGUUGCUUACGAUUGUACUAAAGCAGGUCAUUCUUAUCAAAGUUUGGAACUUGGAUUGGCAAUCAGACUGCUUUAGCCAUAAGGGUUCUGCUCACACAGCCAAAUCAAAUAUAGUCUUCCAUCUUUAUCCCUGAUUUGCCUUAAAAAAAAUCAACCUUAUUAUAACAGCUAUGUUUCCCCUGGGCCUACUCAGCAAACAUUCCUCAACAGCUAAGAGAAUAGGCUGCAAAAUGGGUUCAGAAUUCCAUCUUGGAAGUAGGGAAAAGAAAUCCUAAUUUCUUAUUUUAUUUGUCAGAUAACUGAGAUUAAAUGUAGGCAGAGCAGGUAGUAAUGUCUACAGGGCUUGAUAUAAUUUCUGUUGACUUUGUGAGCAUUGAAUCAGGUCCACUCUUGGAUCUGACAUGUGGUUAAAGUGGAACCAACAUUUCCAUUCUAAGGGAUAACUUUCAAUUGUUUCUAAUAUUUUCAAUCUUUUUCUUUCCUUGCUGAAAUCCAUUAGGUUUGUUCUUGAUCUGGGAGAGAAUGUUUUCUGGAAUGUUAGAGUCAAAAAGGUUCAGUCAUUUUCAUGAACAAAUUGCAUUGUUCCAGGUUUAGGUUUUUUGCAUCAGUCAAUGACAGCUGGGCCAAUUAUCCUGGAUACUAAGUUUAUGUUCCAUAUUAGUGUCAUAAAAGUAAUUGUGAUGUCAUGCAUUUGUGCAGCACCACCACUGAAGCCUGAAUUCAGAGUGGCUGUAAUGUCAGCACAAACAGCUUCACAACAGGCAUCAAAAGGAGAGAGACUGUGAUGCACGUUGAACUUCCCGCCACUUUGCAUAAAUAUCUUUGAUGAUUAGCAAAAAAAGGAAUAGACAAACAAACAAUGCAUGGAAAGUAAAUGGAUGAAGAGGGUGUGAUUUCCAAACACACAGUCAGACUAGUGAAGUCAAUGGCAAAACUCCCCUAAGCUUUGGCGGAAGCAGAGGUCGUCCAUGCCAUCAAUGACGUUCUGCUCCCGAGAGUCAUCCGCCUGUGCAACGUGGACGCUACGGUGGCCAGCUUCACUGCCCUUGGGUUCCCCAACUGCGGGGGAGUCCUGGAUGCAACCCACAUCGCUGUUCAUGCUCCAGACCAUUGAGCGGCCCAUUUCGUCAACAGAAAGGGGUACUUCUCAAUUGUACUCCAGGCCCUCGUGGACCACCGUGGCCGCUUCACGACAUUUAUGCAGGCUGGUCCGGCAGGGCACACGACGCCCACAUUCUAAGGAAUUCUGGUACUUUGUGAUUUGAAUGAAAUUUCUCAGGUUAGGCCUGAUGUAGCAAGCAUCUGUAUUGAAAAAUCUAAUCCUGAGUAGCAGCACAGCUCAAUCCAGCAAAACACUAAAGCAAGAGAAUCAACCCAUUAACUUUGUAAAAUGAAGCACAUGCUUAAAGCUCUGCUGGAUAAGGGCCUCGAGUGAGACAAUAGAUGGAAAAUUUAAAAUCAGACCGGGUAAGUUAAAGUAAUGAAAUUUUUCAUCUAUUGUUUGUGUUCUAUUUGAAAAUUAAUGCUCACUUUUAGACAUGUUUCCUUUUAUUGGUGUAGUUCUGUGAAGAGGACUAGUCAACCCCCUUAUAAUUCAUCAGGGUUUUUAUACGUGCAGCAACAUGAACAGCCAUGCAAUUAUACUGGUUAUGGCUUACUUGUUUUAUGUGCGUUUUGCUGACUUCUAGUACAGUACAUGGAAAGUAACAAGGCAACAAAUAUUUUCCUCAUCUGUGGGAAUCAUAUUUUUCACUUAAAGCAUUUUACGUGCUGCCAAAUUAUAUAGCAAUAUACACCAGAACAUCAUUUGCUCCAAUGCUUGUUACAUCAUAGGGAAAUGUAGCCCAGCAUGUUGUACUAUUAAGAAAUUUGUAACUGUCUAUUUGAACAGGACUUAGGUCAAAUCAUAAAACAAAAACAUUUUAAAAAACUCCAACAGCACUGACAUUUUCUGGACUGCGAGAUAUUUUAAUGCUUAAUGGGUUAUAAUUAAAAGUUCACAGUCUCAACAAGGUUAAUUAACAUGACUCUAGAAUUAUUUUAAUUGAGCUAAGCAUAUAUACUUGAGUAUAUAAAAUAAAUAUACCUGAACACAGAUUGAAAAUAUUUUACUGAAUCCCUAAGACCCACAUUUUGAAAAGUGGUUAGUGAUUUUCUGUGCCCAACUUGAGACAACAUAAAAGAGCCUGAUUUUCAGAAACUGUUGAGCACCUAUGGUCUCAAAAUCAGGUCUCUUGAAUGUAUCUCAAGAUGAACAACCAAAAAUUGAAGAACACAAUAUCCCUAGUCACUUAAGGCAUUUUUUCCUAAAAGCUUUGUGUAAAUACAGUCAGAAGCCUGACUCCUAGCUUUUGUCAAAAUGCUGUCCCACACUGCCUUAAUCUGUCAUGUUCAGGUUGUGGCCUUUGGUAUUGUUUUUUUAUGUAAGUUCUUUAAGUACAGUAGUUCUUUAUUUGCUCUGUGAACAAUUCAGGUCAAGCAGAGCUCCUGGAAUAAUAAAUGCUUGACCUUUUCCAAUUCAGUUUUGACCCUCCACACAAGGCAUGGUGAGAUGUCUCUGAAAAUAAACAUUCAUUCCUGUAUAAACAUCUUCAAAGAUGAGAAAUAAUGAAUAAUUACUUCUUCUUGUCCCAUCAUAAUUAAACACACUAUUCUCCCUGAAAAGGAGGAGCCACUUCCUGACUUCUCCUGUACAUAAUCUGUCUUUUAGCAAAGGCAGAAGGACACACAGAAAACUUUACUAAAGCAGUAAGGAUACAUUUACUUUCAGAGAAACAAAAUUGAUCCAAUACACAUUGCUGAAGUACUAUCAGAAAUAGUAUGAGUAUUACAGGUUUACUUAAAAAUUAUGGCUACUCUUAUCCAUUCCCCACCUCCAAAAUCUUGAUGCAGCAGUUGUUUGUUUGUUUAUUUGUUUGUUUGUUUGUUUGUUUUUAAAGAGAACAACCAAUGGAAU